rnacentral:lncRNA from 1 species
GUUUUACUCCGGAGAAGGAACCCCGUUUGUCAGAGAAGGAGCCUUCGCAAAGUUCUGCCGUCAUGAGCGAGAACUCCAUCUCCAGCAGUUCCACGUCAGAUGGAGACGAGAUACAGCUAGCCAGGAGCUGGAUGGACUACGACCAGGAUUUGACUCUCUUGCAGACAUGGUAUAAGCUGGAUAAAAACACAAUUCCUGCUGUGUACCGUUUACUUUCAGUCAGCACACAUCACCCUGACUACCUCAGUCGGGAUGGGCAUCGCAGGAAGCUGGGAAGGAAGGUGUGGCGCUCUUCCUGUGUGAAACUGUGGAACGUGCUGUGGCGAUCUGGACCUGAGGCCAUUGGAGAAGAAGCCACCUGCCAUCUGCUUAAAACAGUGUUGGACUGGGAAGUGGAACAGGGUCUUGGAGGAAAGCAGCCUCCGGAGGAGUACAGUCACUGCUAUAAGAGGAUCAUCACUGACCUUCUGUACAAUCUGAAAAAUGA